GUAGGGUGGCAAGCGUUGUCCGGAAUUAUUGGGCGUAAAGCGCGCGCAGGCGGUCCUUUAAGUCUGAUGGGGAAAGCCCACGGCUCAACCGUGGAGGGUCAUUGGAAACUGGGGGACUUGAGUACAGAAGAGGAAAGCGGAAUUCCAAGUGUAGCGGUGAAAUGCGUAGAGAUUUGGAGGAACACCAGUGGCGAAGGCGGCUUUCUGGUCUGUAACUGACGCUGAGGCGCGAAAGCGUGGGGAGCAAACAGGAUUAGAUACCCUGGUAGUCCACGCCGUAAACGAUGAGUGCUAAGUGUUAGGGGGUUUCCGCCCCUUAGUGCUGCAGCUAACGCAUUAAGCACUCCGCCUGGGGAGUACGGCCGCAAGGCUG
rnacentral:rRNA from 1 species